UAGGGAAUCUUCGGCAAUGGACGAAAUUCUGACCGAGCAACGCCGUGUGAGUGUAGAAGGUUUUCGGAUCGUAAAACCCUUUUGUCAGAGAAGAACAAGGACGUUAGUAACUGAACGUCCCCUGACGGUAUCUAACCAGAAAGCCACGGCUAACUACGUGCCAGCAGCCGCGGUAAUACGUAGGUGGCAAGCGUUGUCCGGAUUUAUUGGGCGUAAAGCGAGCGCAGGCGGUUUCUUAAGUCUGAUGUGAAAGCCCCCGGCUCAACCGGGGAGGGUCAUUGGAAACUGGGAGACUUGAGUGCAGAAGAGGAGAGUGGAAUUCCAUGUGUAGCGGUGAAAUGCGUAGAUAUAUGGAGGAACACCAGUGGCGAGGGCGGCUUUCUGGUCUGUAACUAACGCUGAGGCUCAAAAGCGUGGGGAGCAACCAGG
rnacentral:rRNA from 1 species